AAAAGUUUUCCCUCCUCAAAGUCUUGAAAAAAAUUAAAAUCUCCCAACACCAAUCUCCCAUUCCCAAAAUCAAUUUCCAUCCACAAUCGUUUGAUAUUCCCUUUCCUUCCCCUAGCCCUUCAUUGUUCGGUUCCCCCUCUCUCAUCUCCAUCUCUCCAGGACUACUACCAUCUCUCCACCGGUGAAUCAUUUUCUCUCUUCGGAUAAAUCACUUCACGGAUCACUUUCUUUUUCUUCAUAGUCAAGAUCUUCAUUGUUGGUCUAGGGUUCACAGAUCUUCUCCAUAGCGUUCAACUUCAAACCUUGCAAAAUUUUAAACCAAAUCAUCUGGUUACGAAAGUGGCUCCUGCUAUGACUUAGGAGGUCAAAGACGCAUUAGUAAAGAACAUUAGAAGAAAGAUGAGUCUUCGUUCUCUAAAGAUUUGAGCGGAUAUUAAGAUAAAAUGCGAUUCAGUUCAAUGGAGUUCUUCACAUUAAGGAGACAAUGCAGAAGGAGAAGCUGCUGGGAGUUAGGAUUGUCCUUAUUCUGCUUGUUGCGGAUCCGAGAAGGGUAGAUAUCAAUCUAUGAAGAGAAGCUUUUGAGUUAUGUUUUAUGAUAGUGAAUUCCUCACCCAAAAGAAGGUUUAGGCCUAUCUUGUAAACAUUUAGAAUUUGGAAUAUGUUUACUUGUUACACAAUGGAAUAUGUUUACUUGUUACACAUUUGGAUAUGUUUCGAAUCGAAUAUAUUAUUGAAGUUAUAAUAUUAUGA